rnacentral:rRNA from 1 species
UCCCUCAGUAACGGCGAGUGAAGCGGGAAGAGCUCAAAUUUGAAAUCUGGGGGCUUCGCCCUCCGAAUUGUAGUUAGAGAGGCGCUUUCGGCGGCGUCAUCGGUCCAAGUUCCUUGGAAUGGGACAUCAUAGAGGGUGAGAAUCCCGUUGAUGGCCGACAGAUGCGCUGCCUUGUGAUACGCUUUCGACGAGUCGGGUUGUUUGGGACUACAGCCCAAAAUGGGUGGUAAAUUUCAUCUAAAGCUAAAUACGGGCGAGAGACCGAUAGCGAACAAGUACCGUGAGGGAAAGAUGAAAAGCACUUUGAAAAGAAGGUCAAAUAGUACGUGAAAUUGUUAAAAGGGAAGCGCUUGGAACCAGUGAGUGCGCGCAGGGAAUUCAGGUUGCGGUCCGUACGGACGCGUUCUGCGGAUGAGCCGAUCACCUCGGCCGUCGGGGGCGCGUCGCGUGCGGGCUGCGGCUGCACUUUCCUUGCGUGCGAGUCAGCAUCAGUGCACCGCGCCGGAGAUGGGUGCUGGGGAGGUGGCGUCGCCCUCGGGCAACGUGUUAUACCCCGGCAUCGUGUACGGCGUGGCGGACUGAGGAUGUCGCAGGUGUCCACGGGACCCCUCGUCCAUGGCUGUGCGCGUGCUGUAGGCCUGCUUGCAGACUGCGGCGCACGGGCGGCUAUGUGCGGGGAUGAAUGUCACCCACCACGCUCCGGAUGCCUGGCGAAAUGGUUUCAAUCGGCCCGUCUGA